rnacentral:rRNA from 1 species
CUACACGGGUUUCUAAUCCUGUUUGCUACCCACGCUUUCGCGCCUCAGCGUCAGUGUCAGUCCAGAAGGCCGCCUUCGCCACUGGUAUUCCUCCCGAUCUCUACGCAUUUCACCGCUACACCGGGAAUUCCACCUUCCUCUCCUGCACUCUGGCCUGCCAGUUCCGAAUGCCGUUCCCGGGUUGAGCCCGGGGCUUUCACAUCCGGCUUGGCAAGCCGCCUACGCGCCCUUUACGCCCAGUAAUUCCGAUUAACGCUUGGAUCCUCCGUAUUACCGCGGCGGCUGGCAC